GCGUGGGAAUGUACCCUUCUCUAAGGAAUAGCCUCUGGAAACGGAGAGUAAUACCUUAUACGCCCUUCGGGGAAAGAUUUAUCGGAGAGGGAUCAGCCCGCGUUAGAUUAGAUAGUUGGUGGGGUAAGUGGCCUACCAAGUCUACGAUCUAUAGCUGGUUUUAGAGGAUGAUCAGCAACACUGGGACUGAGACACGGCCCAGACUCCUACGGGAGGCAGCAGUGGGGAAUCUUGGACAAUGGGCGCAAGCCUGAUCCAGCCAUGCCGCGUGAGUGAUGAAGGCCUUAGGGUCGUAAAGCU
rnacentral:rRNA from 1 species